AUGAACAAACGGAUAUCAGGUAGCAAGCUGGAGUGGAAAGAGACAACUGCAGUCCUUUUCCCCACCGUUCUUCAGUCUCACGCUUGUCGUGGCCGUGGGUGCGUCACUCCGGUCAUUUGGAUCUAUUACCUUCAUUCUCUAAAAGAGAAAUGAUACUAUUUUGGGAACAGUGUUAACAAUCUGCCUCAGAUUUCUCAAAUGAGGAAGAAAGUAUUGUGUCUACACUUUGUUCAGGGGACUUGGCCGAAGAAAGAUUUUUAGAGCUAAAGAUUCUCGGUUCUGCAUGGCAACUUUCAUCAAGAAAUG
rnacentral:lncRNA from 1 species